UACAGAGGGGGCAAGCGUUGUUCGGAAUUACUGGGCGUAAAGGGCGCGUAGGCGGCCUUCUAAGUCGAACGUGAAAUCCCCGGGCUCAACCCGGGAACUGCGUCCGAUACUGGAAGGCUUGAAUCCGGGAGAGGGAUGCGGAAUUCCAGGUGUAGCGGUGGAAAUGCGUACGAUAUCAGGAGGAACACCGGUGCGGAAGGCGGACUUCUGGACAGAUACCGCGUGAGGACGAAAGCUGGGGAGCAAACAGGAUUAGAAACCCGG
rnacentral:rRNA from 1 species